CGAGCAACGCUGAGGACAGUCGCUGUCUCGGAAAGCCGUGCCGCGAGACGCAGAGGUUCGGUGGGGCGGACCGGACGGUCCGAGAGACUCGGGGAGGCGCGGAGGACCCGCGUGGGACAGCCACCUGGAACGCGACUGCCAGAUAUGGCUGCUAAUGGCAUCUACUUCAGUUCUGGACUGUGGAUUGAGUGAACCGUAUCCUUUCCCAUCAUGAUACACAACGUAAAGGCUCUCCACUUUGCUGCAUUCUGACUAGUGGCCAAGCACGUGACAUUCCGAACUUCAGCAAAGGUACAGUAAG